rnacentral:lncRNA from 1 species
AAGUCUUGGAUGAAUCUUAUCGUUGACACCCCAAUGAGUUUCUCCUCAAAGUCUGCCAAGGCCUUAUACUUCACGAUGUAGCUGAGCUUGACCUCGACGAAGGCCUCCAAUAUGGAUACAGACUGUCCUACCUUCAUUGCAAGUGGGGAAUGUUCGUCCCAGAACCAGUCGGACCUUUCAAAGCCUUGAGAGGAGGUGGAACUUAGCCAGACAUGGAAGACUCCGACUGAGCGCUCUUCAUCUUUUUGGACGAGGGGUCGUCACACAAGGAAGCCAUUUUCUUUUUUACUGAUUGCUUCAUGGCCCAUUGUGAUGGCUCCAUGGCAAUGAGGCAACAAGAGGAAGAAUAUUCCUUAACAGAUACAGAGAUAUUCUACAAGGCAAGUGACCUAUUUAUAGGUCUUGGAUGAUCCACAUUCGGUCGUUAGGCAAUUGGAUCAUGCCACUUGGCCAACUCUGAAGUGGCUGGUAAUGCUGCCCUUUAUUGCAUUCUUAUCCACUCUAAGUUCUAAGGAAUAAUUCACAAAGGUUACUUUGAAACUUACCGCGAUGCACCACAUGGCA